CGGACGGGUGAGUAACGCGUGGAAAACCUGCCGUAUACUGGGGGAUAACACUUAGAAAUAGGUGCUAAUACCGCAUGAGCGCACAGCUUCGCAUGAAGCGGUGUGAAAAACUCUGGUGGUAUACGAUGGUUCCGCGUCAGAUUAGCUAGUUGGUGGGGUAAUGGCCUACCAAGGCAACGAUCAGUAGCCGGCCUGAGAGGGUGAACGGCCACAUUGGGACUGAGACACGGCCCAAACUCCUACGGAAGGCAGCAG
rnacentral:rRNA from 1 species